rnacentral:rRNA from 1 species
GUCUACAGCCAUACCACCCUGAAUGCGCCCUAUCUCAUCUGAUCUCGGAAGCUAAGUAGUACUUGGAUAGGAGAAUUACCUUUGACAUGUUUUAUUACAUAUCCAUUUUGCUAUCAAAU